rnacentral:rRNA from 1 species
UGAGACGUGAUGCGUAGCCGUUUGAGGCGAAGUAGAGUGAUCCUAUGCUGCCGAGAAAAGCCUCUAGUGAGUGCAUGCACGGCCCGUACCCCAAACCAACACAGGUGGUCAGGUAGAGAAUACCAAGGCGAUCGGGUGAACUGUGGUUAAGGAACUCGGCAAAAUGCCCCCGUAACUUCGGGAGAAGGGGGGCCAAACAUCCUGAAGCUCUUUUCGAGCUAGGGGUGGGUGGCCGCAGAGACCAGCGGAAAGCGACUGUUUACUAAAAACACAGGUCCAUGCGAAGUCGCAAGACGAUGUAUAUGGACUGACGCCUGCCCGGUGCUGGAACGUUAAGAGGACCGGUUAGCCAGUAAUGGCGAAGCUGAGAAUUUAAGCGCCAGUAAACGGCGGUGGUAACUAUAACCAUCCUAAGGUAGCGAAAUUCCUUGUCGGGUAAGUUCCGACCUGCACGAAUGGCGUAACGACUUUCCGGCUGUCUCAACCACAGGCCCGGCGAAAUUGCACUACGAGUAAAGAUGCUCGUUACGCGCGGCAGGACGGAAAGACCCCGGGACCUUUACUAUAGUUUGGUAUUGGUUUUCGGUUCGGCUUGUGUAGGAUAGGUGGGAGACUGUGAAGUGGUCACGCUAGUGGCUGUGGAGUCGUUGUUGAAAUACCACUCUGGUCGAAUUGGGAAUCUGAACCUCGGGCCAUGAUCUGGUUCAGGGACAGUGCCUGAUGGGUAGUUUAACUGGGGCGGUUGCCUCCUAAAGAGUAACGGAGGCGCCCAAAGGUUCCCUCAGCCUGGUUGGCAAUCAGGUGUUGAGUGCAAGUGCACAAGGGAGCUUGACUGUGAGACAGACAUGUCGAGCAGGGACGAAAGUCGGGACUAGUGAUCCGGCACCUCCUGGUGGAAGGGGUGUCGCUCAACGGAUAAAAGGUACCCCGGGGAUAACAGGCUGAUCUUGCCCAAGAGUCCAUAUCGACGGCAUGGUUUGGCACCUCGAUGUCGGCUCGUCGCAUCCUGGGGCCGGAGUAGGUCCCAAGGGUUGGGCUGUUCGCCCAUUAAAGCGGCACGCGAGCUGGGUUUAGAACGUCGUGAGACAGUUCGGUCCCUAUCCGCCGCGCGCGUAGGAUACUUGAGGAAGGCUGUCCCUAGUACGAGAGGACCGGGACGGACGAACCUCUGGUGUGCCAGUUGUUCUGCCAAGGGCAUGGCUGGUUGGCCACGUUCGGAAGGGAUAACCGCUGAAGGCAUCUAAGCGGGAAGCCUGUUCCAAGAUGAGGUAUCCCACCCCUUUGUGGGUUAAGGCCCCCAACAGACCAUUGGGUUGAUAGGCCAGAAAUGGAAGCACAGUAAUGUGUUGUCGAGUUGACUGGUACUAAUAGGCCGAGGACUUGCCU